AUUGAACGCUGGCGGCAUGCUUUACACAUGCAAGUCGAACGGUAACAGGUUAAGCUGACGAGUGGCGAACGGGUGAGUAAUGCAUCGGAACGUGCCCGGUCGUGGGGGAUAACGCAGCGAAAGUUGCGCUAAUACUGCAUACGAUCUGAGGAUGAAAGCGGGGGACCGUAAGGCCUCGCGCGAUCGGAGCGGCCGAUGUCAGAUUAGGUAGUUGGUGGGGUAAAGGCUCACCAAGCCAACGAUCUGUAGGCGGUCUGAGAGGACGACCAGCCACACUGGGACUGAGACACGGCCCAGACUCCUACGGGAGGCAGAAGUGGGGAAUUUUUGACAAUGGGCGAAAGCCUGAUCCAGCAAUGCCGCGUGCAGGAAGAAGGCCUUCGGGUUGUAAACUGCUUUUGUACGGAGCGAAAAGGUCUCCUCUAAUACAGGGGGCUCAUGACGGUACCGUAAGAAUAAGCACCGGCUAACUACGUGCCAGCCGCCGCUGUAA
rnacentral:rRNA from 1 species